GUGGCUGGGGAUGCUCCGUCCCUGGAGGUGUUCAAGGAAGGCCAGGUUGGAUGGGGCCCUGGGCAGCCUGGUGUAGUGCUUGAUCUAGUGGUGGCUGCCUGCCUGUGGCAGGGGGAUUGGAACAUGGUGAUCCCUGGGGUCCCUUCCAACCCAAGCCAUUCUAUGAUUGACUGUUGGGCUGUUCUUGUCUUUGUUCUUUUAUUCUUGCUAUGUGGAGAUUGCUCUAAGCAUUUGCUAUUUGUCAUGCCACAUACGUAAGUCGCUCUGAAAGUAAUGCCUCCUAUUUAUUUCCAUGGAAACUACAACAGAUCCAAAGAGCACAAUAACAAUUUUUGAUAGAGCAAAUUCUUAGCUACAAACCGCUAUUUUUCAACAUAGUCAACACCACCACUGGUUAUAUCCCUCUGCAGCUGCCCCUGGCAGAGCCCCUCUGGCUGUAGGGCUGCUUUUCUACCAGGGGACCUGUGAGAGGGUGUGAACUGAAGUGGUUUUGCAAACUCCUGGGCUGAGGCAGUGAUUUUGCUGGUUGUGGGGUUGCAUGCCAUCCUUCUACAGUUGCAGAAGGAGCUUGUGGGAGUUAGGCAGAACUCCUUUCCUCUGCUAAGAUUGAUCUCUCUCAAUGCGGAAUAUUUCUGCAAUGAAAUGCUCUCACUUGCAAAAGCCUGGAGAUGCUGUAAAUUAUUUUAUGACCUGGAGGCCUGCAGUAAUGGCUGAAGCAGCUUUGUCUCGAUUUCCGGUGCAGUGCAGCAGUUGGCCUUACUGAGCUCUGUGGGUGGAACAGGGGCAGGAGGUAGGGCACCCCGCCUGUACUGCAGCUACCUGGGACCCCUCCUUCAGGAUGAAUGGAGAAAUUGAUGGAAAGAGUGAGACUGUGACAUCGGUUCAUUAUCUCACCUGCAAAUAGCAGGUACAAAUCCUGCGCUGGCCUCUUGCUCUGAAAUUGUGUGCCCUUUGCUAGCUGUUGGAUGAAAGAUGGGUAAAAGCGUGGCCAGCCCAGGUGAUGGACAUGGCAGCGCCUGGUGCCCCCCGGUGCUGUGCCUGCAGCCCCAGCACUGCCCACUGCCCCAGUGCUGCCGUGUGCUGAACCGCUGUGUGAGGCCUCCGUGCAGUGGGAGCAGCACCCAGCUCUGGCAAAAUGAGUGCUAUGUCCAGAAAACCACUUGGGACCAUUUUAAGUGGGUACAGAACUGAACUGUAUAAACAGAUCAGCUUUUAUAACACUUCAUUAUAGCAGUGCAUAGUUUGAAGUUUAUUAUAUAUUCGUGUACUAAUUCCAGCUUCCUGGAAAGGUGAGGGCUGUUUUAGAGCAAAUGCUACAGAUUAAGACUUGUCAGUUUCUUUCCUUAUUGGCAAAUGUUUCUAGUUAAAUGCAAGAUGUAGGUGGUGUGUGCCAGUGAUUUGUGUGACAAAUGUGCUGUCAGUCAUUGUUAAAAAUGUAACAUUCUCUGUUAAUCCACUGCAGUAUCCAUGUUUUCAUGUAUCAAACCAUCUUGCUUAAGCCUGGGCUUUCUCAAAAGCAAACCAGGGCACUGUUUGCUAUUGCGCAGCCCCCCACUUACCAGGAAUACAUACAAGUUAAUGUAUCUCAUUAAAAACUCAAGUGUUUUUUUUUCUUUUUUUUUUUAAAAUUCCUCUCCCUCCCCCUCCCAUCGAGAUUAAGAUUUAAUUUUACAGAUGGAUUAUAACUGCUCUUUUAAGUGCCAUUCUUUUAGGGACAAGUUAAUUGAUCAGGCUAAGGAGAGGAAAAACCUUCCGCAGCAGAACGGAGUCCAUAAAGUACGCGACACGCGUUGAUUCGUGAGGAGCUGCAGAAUUCCGUCCCCUUGAGAUCCACUCCAAGGGAAGGGAAGGCUUUGCUCAUCCUUCAGUGGAUCUCAGCCCACGUGUGCAGCACACCCCUCUCUGCUGGGCAGGCACUGAGCCCUGCUGGCAGCAGUGGCACCGCGGCGGCUCAGCACGGAGCUCCGAGCUGUUGGGGUCGCUGCCUCCACCGCACCGUGCGGCUCCUGGAGCUCCUGCAGCCCCAGCAGUGCCGGAGCACAGCAGGCUGCUGCCACGCUCCUGUCAGACAUCCAGCCCAGAGCUGUUCAUUGGACAGAGACAAGACACCAAACCUCAGAGCCAGAGGACAAAAGAGGAAAGAAAAAGGCAGAUACAGGACAGUGCUGCACAGAGCAGAAACUACUGGUGAGCUUUCGACCUGUUGCCUGUCUUUGGAAGCUUCUAACUUCAAAGAAGAAAGACUUCUGCAUCCUUGUCUAGGCAGCUGAAGUCCCCAUUACUCAUCUUCUGUGAGUACAACAACAGCAUCUUCUCACUACCACCAAAAGGAAGAUCUGAUUUCUUGAUUAUCAAACACACUCGGUAAGCUGUCAAUUCACAUGACAUAUUGCAAGUUAAAUAACUCAAGUAAAAAUUCACUUUAACUUUGCUGUAUUUAUAUACUAUAUAAAUUUUACAUGCUAAAUAUUUACAGUGGGGCAAGUGCUUUUUAUCUUUAAAAAAACAAAGAUCAUACUUCAGACAUCUCUGAACAACACAGCUUGUAUAAACCAGACAGAUUAUUCAGAUGAACUGUAUUUAAUACAGGUUCCCCACUCAUCUCCUGAUGCAGGACCAGUGAAUAAUAAGUGCAUCACAGUUUGAUAGCAUUUAAUAAUAAAAAAUAAAAUCACAGUAUGAAUUUGUCUGUAACUAGAAACUUUUGAGACGAAACAAACAACUGAGACUUGAGACAAGUGACGCUAUAAAAACAAAUGUAAUAAAAACAUAUGGGAGUAUACAAAUAGUCUGAGAGAUACAUUCAGAACUGCAUAUUCUGAUCAUUAUGUUCCACUUGCUGAAAACCAGAACAUAUUCUUCGAUCUUGAGCGUAAAUAAGAUGUGAAUUAGUUUCUAGUGUCAGACGUCACAGAAAAAGGAUGAAGAUCUUGCAGAACUCCGUAGUUGUUGGAGAGCUUGUGAAAUCUUAAAUAAGUCUUCAAAUAAAAUAUACAGACUGUCA